ACUGUGGAAGGAGGGACAGCUAAUGGCAGGGAACCUUUCUGAGGAGGGGGGAAGACUAUUACAGGGACAUGACUGCACCUGGGUAUUGGUUCACAUCUGGCAGAGACUGAUGCUCCCUUCCCACAUGAUCAGCCUGAGCUUUGGGAAAGCAUGAACUUCAGAUCUUCGGAGCAUGUAAAGCAACAAGGCAUCAAGGCAGCAGUGACACAGGCAGCAAUAUCCUUCGGUAAAUGCCGUUCAAUGCAGCAGAGCUUCUUAGCGAUUAAAGGAGCCUUGGAAAUGUCA